rnacentral:rRNA from 1 species
AAACUUUCAACAACGGAUCUCUUGGUUCUGGCAUCGAUGAAGAACGCAGCGAAAUGCGAUAAGUAAUGUGAAUUGCAGAAUUCCGUGAAUCAUCGAAUCUUUGAACGCACAUUGCGCCCGCCAGUAUUCUGGCGGGCAUGCCUGUUCGAGCGUCAUUUCAACCCUCAAGCCCCCG